AUGAACGCUAGCGGCAGGCCUAACACAUGCAAGUCGAGGGGCAGCACGAAUUAGCUUGCUAAUUUGGUGGCGACCGGCGCACGGGUGCGUAACGCGUGGGAAUCUACCCUUGGGUUCGGAAUAACAGUUAGAAAUGACUGCUAAUACCGGAUGAUGACGAAAGUCCAAAGAUUUAUCGCCCAUGGAUGAGCCCGCGUAAGAUUAGCUUGUUGGUGGGGUAAUGGCCUACCAAGGCGACGAUCUUUAGCUGGUCUGAGAGGAUGAUCAGCCACACUGGGACUGAGACACGGACCAGACUCCUACGGGAGGCAGCAGUAAGGAAUAUUGGUCAAUGGAGGCAACUCUGAACCAGCCAUGCCGCGUGCAGGAAGACGGCCCUAUGGGUUGUAAACUGCUUUUGUACCAGAGAAAACCCCGGUACGUGUACCGGGUUGAUAGUAUGGUAAGAAUAAGCAUCGGCUAACUUCGUGCCAGCAGCCGCGGUAAGACGAAGGAUGCAAGCGUUAUCCGGAUUCAUUGGGUUUAAAGGGUGCGUAGGCGGACUUGUAAGUCAGUGGUGAAAUCUCUCAGCUUAACUGAGAAACUGCCAUUGAUACUGCAGGUCUAGAGUACAGAUGAUGUGGGCGGAAUAUGACAUGUAGUGGUGAAAUACUAGAUAUGUCAUAGAACACCGAUUGCGAAGGCAGCUCACAAAACUGUAACUGACGCUGAGGCACGAAAGUGCGGGGAUCAAACAGGAUUAGAUACCCUGGUAGUCCGCACCGUAAACGAUGAUUACUCGUUGUUGGCGAUAUGACAGUCAGCGACCAAGCGACCGCGACAAGUAAUCCACCUGGGG
rnacentral:rRNA from 1 species